ACAGGGGACUUGUGGGUUUGGCACGACCCGUUCGCUCCGAGCGUUCGGUACGCCCUCCGGGACGUAGUCAUCGUGUCAAGUCGGCGUCGUCGUCGGCGAGACUACCGAAUUGCGGGGAAACCCUAAAGCUUAGCGCUACCGCCACGAGGUCGACAGACCCCGGGGACUUAGCCUCUGGAUUCAGGAUGAGGGUGACAAAGCGGUCUUCUGACCAGCGGCCCAAUACUCCGUCCCACGCGAAGCCCGUUAUUGGCACCCAUGACAGGGGUACGGUAACAAUGCGCUAGAUACUCCGUAAGGGGUAAUGGGUUAUCCGCAGCGAACAAUACUGUUCCUUGAUUGGGACGGGGUUGAGCGUUCAACGACUAAGUGGUAGUCGGUCAUUGGUUUCUGCCUUUGGCUUAAGAUAUAGUCUAAAUAGUCGGGAAACCGACGG
rnacentral:ncRNA from 1 species